CACUCUUUUCAACCACUGGAUUUUGGACCCUAGCUAACAACUGCACUAACUGAUCGUUAAGAAUGGGUUACGAAGCAAAGAAAACAACCUCCUGUCGACCCACUCCUCACUGGGACCAAGCGAGCUGUCCCGGACUGCCCCGUCCAUCUCCUAAAUAAAUACUCACAGGGCAAGAAGAAUAAAGAGACACACCAAGUAAAAGCCACUUGGUUCUGAUUUUCACAUUCAGUUACUCAGAACACACUGCUUUUGAAUGUAUAAG
rnacentral:lncRNA from 1 species